rnacentral:rRNA from 1 species
GACGAACGCUGGCGGCGUGCUUAACACAUGCAAGUCGAGCGGAAAGGCCACUUCGGUGGUACUCGAGCGGCGAACGGGUGAGUAACACGUGAGUAAUCUGCCCCUGGCUUUGGGAUAGCCACCGGAAACGGUGAUUAAUACCGGAUACGACCACUUCUCGCAUGGGAUGGUGGUGGAAAGUUUUUUCGGCCAGGGAUGUGCCCGCGGCCUAUCAGCUUGAUGGUGAGGUAAUGGCUCACCAUGGCUUCGACGGGUAGCCGGCCGGAGAGGGUGACCGGUCACACUGGGACUGAGACACGGCCCAGACUCCUACGGGAGGCAGCAGUGGGGAAUAUUGGACAAUGGGCGGAAGCCUGAUCCAGCAACGCCGCGUGAGGGAUGACGGCCUUCGGGUUGUAAACCUCUUUCAGCAGGGACGAAGCGCAAGUGACGGUACCUGCAGAAGAAGCACCGGCCAACUACGUGCCAGCCGCCGCGGUAA